UACGUAGGGUGCGAGCGUUGUCCGGAAUUAUUGGGCGUAAAGGGCUCGUAGGCGGUCUGUCACGUCGGGAGUGAAAACUCAGGGCUUAACCCUGAGCCUGCUUCCGAUACGGGCUGACUAGAGGUAUGCAGGGGAGAACGGAAUUCCUGGUGUAGCGGUGAAAUGCGCAGAUAUCAGGAGGAACACCGGUGGCGAAGGCGGCAUCCUGGACCAACACUGACACUGAUGAGCGAAAGCCAGGGGAGCAAACGGG
rnacentral:rRNA from 1 species